rnacentral:lncRNA from 1 species
UGGAUGCUGUUUUGCAGGUGCUCAUUCCUGACGACAGGCGAUGGAGAGUUGGCCGUAAUAGAUUGGCGUGCUAGGUAAGGGGAAGAAACAGAGAUCAUAUCCACCAUGGCAAAAAUCAGGGCCCAGCACUCUACUGCAACCGGAUCAGCAAGACGUUCUUUCCAUCAGGAAGAGGUUCCUCUCCCUCCUACAAUAGCAGAGCCUAGCUCUUUAUGUUCUGUGAUUACCACGGACGUCC